UACAGAGGUCUCAAGCGUUGUUCGGAUUCAUUGGGCGUAAAGGGUGCGUAGGUGGCGCGCUAAGUCAGGUGUGAAAUUUCGGAGCUUAACUCCGAAACUGCAUUUGAUACUGGCGUGCUUGAGGACUGGAGAGGAGACUGGAAUUCAUGGUGUAGCAGUGAAAUGCGUAGAGAUCAUGAGGAAGACCAGUGGCGAAGGCGGGUCUCUGGACAGUUCCUGACACUGAGGCACGAAGGCCAGGGGGAGCAAAACGGG
rnacentral:rRNA from 1 species